UACGUAGGUGGCAAGCGUUGUCCGGAUUUACUGGGCGUAAAGAGCGCGCAGGCGGUCGUUCAAGUCGCGUGUGAAAGCCCCCCGGCUCAACUGGGGAGGGUCACGCGAUACUGAUCGACUCGAAGGCAGGAGAGGGAAGUGGAAUUCCCGGUGUAGUGGUGAAAUGCGUAGAUAUCGGGAGGAACACCAGUGGCGAAGGCGACUUCCUGGCCUGUUCUUGACGCUGAGGCGCGAAAGCUAGGGGAGCAAAGCGGG
rnacentral:rRNA from 1 species